rnacentral:piRNA from 1 species
UGUCAUGAAACUAGCUUACGCCCUCUGCCU